AAAGCAGCUAGUGAUUGAUCUGGAUUAGCGCCAGUUGGCAGGAACGGUAAAUGCUGAUGACACUUGCCUGCUGUACUUAUCUCGAAAGUUACCAAAAAACAGCUCACUAGCAAGAAACUUCAAAGUCCUGCCUCCUCCGGUGGAAAUUAGGUAAAAAUUAACCAUGUUAUUGUUGUAUGGUUAUUGUUUUAAGCGGCUCAAAUAAUUAUUCACACAAACAUGUUUACGAAGUAUCAACUGGCAUCGAAAGUUACUAGCAAGCUAUUAGCUUUUUUUCGCAAGUAGGCCUAGUUUUCUACAAUGUCACACAUUUUGAUUUGACCCCUUUCUGUGUCUUGACCGGCCAGCCGCAUUUGUCUUCAUUGAAACGUUUGGCUAAUAUGUAUUAUUAUAAACAUUAAAUGUUUGCUACAAUGGACUAUAGCAUGUUAUAUUUGCCCUGGUCCAAGCAGAGGAAACGUGAUUAACUCACGCCUUGAACCAUCCAAUUCCGGAUAAAGACUCGAUGUUUUCUAGCAUUGAUUGUUCAUGUGUAGCCUUAGACACCACCCCUGACCCACUCCAGACCUCUACCCACUUACUUUGAUAGGUCUUCCGUUAGUGAAUCACAACACUACAUUUCAUGUAGUCUGCCUCGCACACGGUACCAAUGUGCUGCUAGCUAGAGAGGUGUGCAGUCAGUGGGUCGUUUCUGAGCAGACUAGAAUGGCCUUGGGAGCACUGCUUGCCCACACUCCACUACCUGGAUCCACCCACAUGCCCUCUUUAAUUCCACUCCUCUGUUCUCGCCAGACCUGCCAUGGAUGAACUGACAGUAGCCGAGCUAAAAGAAGCCAGCCAGCCAGCACUAGUCUGCCUAUGGUGGGAGGUUUGAUUUGGGAUGGGGGAAUUGGUGGCCCAGCAGGUCUGCCUGGUCUGCUGGUCUGGGCAUCCAUCGAUGGAAGUGCAUCACACCUCUGGCCAGCUAGAGGCUCCUCCUCCCUGUUCCUCCUCCCUGUUCCUCAUCCUUGCCGACUGAGUGACCGAUCGUCAGUCUUGCUGAAUGGUCAAAGAGCGCGUCGAGCUGUCACGCACCAGCGCCACCGGGGAGGGGCCAUCCUACGCCCGCGCCGCCUAGUUCGCCGUUACCCACAAGGCACCUGGACAGGAGAGGGACCCGCAGGGGCCGGAGACAGGAAGAGUGUCAGCUUGGCCGGUUGCCUCUUGCCCGGCCAGGAUUUUAACCACCGAACAGCCAUACGCCAUUCUUACCUCCAGGCACACCUGGGAAGCAGUGGUGGCACUUGAAUAUCUAAGAGAAAUGGCGUCUGUCG
ensembl:lncRNA